rnacentral:rRNA from 1 species
KCUCAGGAUGAACGCUGGCGGCGUGCCUAUCACAUGCAAGUCGAGCGAAGCACUGUGCUUAGAUUCUUCGAUGAAGAGGAUUGUGACUGAGCGGCGGACGGGUGAGUAACGCGUGGGUAACCUGCCUCAUACAGGGGGAUAACAGUUAGAAAUGACUGCUAAUACCGCAUAAGACCACAGCACCGCAUGGUGCGGGGGUAAAAACUCCGGUGGUAUGAGAUGGAUCCGCGUCUGAUUAGCUAGUUGGUAAGGUAACGGCUUACCAAGGCGACGAUCAGUAGCCGACCUGAGAGGGUGACCGGCCACAUUGGGACUGAGACACGGCCCAAACUCCUACGGGAGGCAGCAGUGGGGAAUAUUGCACAAUGGGGGAAACCCUGAUGCAGCGACGCCGCGUGAGCGAAGAAGUAUUUCGGUAUGUAAAGCUCUAUCAGCAGGGAAGAAAAUGACGGUACCUGACUAAGAAGCACCGGCUAAAUACGUGCCAGCAGCCGCGGUAAUACGUAUGGUGCAAGCGUUAUCCGGAUUUACUGGGUGUAAAGGGAGCGUAGACGGAUGGGCAAGUCUGAUGUGAAAACCCGGGGCUCAACCCCGGGGACUCCAUUGGAAACUGUUCAUCUAGAGUGCUGGAGAGGUAAGUGGAAUUCCUAGUGUAGCGGUGAAAUGCGUAGAUAUUAGGAGGAACACCAGUGGCGAAGGCGGCUUACUGGACAGUAACUGACGUUGAGGCUCGAAAGCGUGGGGAGCAAACAGGAUUAGAUACCCUGGUAGUCCACGCCGUAAACGAUGACUACUAGGUGUCGGGUGGCAAAGCCAUUCGGUGCCGCAGCAAACGCAAUAAGUAGUCCACCUGGG